UUAGUAACGGCGAGUGAAGCGGUAAAAGCUCAAAUUUGAAAUCUGGUACUUUCAGUGCCCGAGUUGUAAUUUGUAGAAUUUGUCUUUGAUUAGGUCCUUGUCUAUGUUCCUUGGAACAGGACGUCAUAGAGGGUGAGAAUCCCGUUUGGCGAGGAUACCUUUUCUCUGUAAGACUUUUUCGAAGAGUCGAGUUGUUUGGGAAUGCAGCUCAAAGUGGGUGGUAAAUUCCAUCUAAAGCUAAAUAUUGGCGAGAGACCGAUAGCGAACAAGUACAGUGAUGGAAAGAUGAAAAGAACUUUGAAAAGAGAGUGAAAAAGUACGUGAAAUUGUUGAAAGGGAAGGGCAUUUGAUCAGACAUGGUGUUUUUUGCAUGCACUCGCCUCUCGUGGGCUUGGGCCUCUCAAAAAUUUCACUGGGCCAACAUCAAUUCUGGCAGCAGGAUAAAUCAUUAAGAAUGUAGCUACUUCGGUAGUGUUAUAGCUUUUUGGAAUACUGUUAGCCGGGAUUGAGGACUGCGCUUCGGCAAGGAUGUUGGCAUAAUGGUUAAAUGCCGCCCGUCUUGAAACACGGACCA
rnacentral:rRNA from 1 species